rnacentral:rRNA from 1 species
UUUUUUAUGGAGAGUUUGAUCCUGGCUCAGGACGAACGCUGGCGGCGUGCUUAACACAUGCAAGUCGAACGGUAAGGCCCUUCGGGGUACACGAGUGGCGAACGGGUGAGUAACACGUGGGUGACCUGCCCUGUACUUCGGGAUAAGCCUGGGAAACUGGGUCUAAUACCGGAUAUGACCUUUCCCUGCAUGGGGUUUGGUGGAAAGCUUUUGCGGUACAGGAUGGGCCCGCGGCCUAUCAG